GAAUAACUAGCUUUCUACUGCAUGUGUGAAAAUUCACAAAUAUUGACAAAAUCGCUUGUAUGAGAAUUAAUAUAAAACAAAAAAUGAACAUAAAAAGUAUAAUGUAAAAUAAAAAUAUUAAAAAUCUUAGUAAAACUGAAACAAAUGAUAGCAGUUGAUAAAUGAAGAGCUAGUAACCACUCAACACUUUAAUGUGAUCUGUAUUCAGCAGAAGAACAAGCUCUUCUUGUGUUUAAUGGGGUUUCAUAUCUCUACACUGCAGACAAAUAUGAUCCUGAUAUCAUAAUGUUCAUGUCAGUCACUAUGAAGGACUGUUUUCCAGUCAUCUGGCCCUCGUAGACUGAACGGAAGCCGCUUCUGUCGUCUCCAUUUUGCCCUUCGGUUCUUGAACCACACCUACAACAAUCACAGAUUCACUGUUUGCAUAGACUUUCAGCAUUAAUUUUGUUUUGUAGCUGUUGAUGUUUGACUUUACAUCACACAAUUCUGAAUUUACAUCACACAAUUCUGAAUUUACAUUUCGCAAUUCUGACUUUACAUCACACAAUUCUGACUUUACAUCUCGCAAUUCUGAAUUUAGAUCUUGCAAUCCUGACUUUACAUCACGCAAUUCUGACUUUACAUCACGCUAUUCUGACUUUACAUCACACUAUUCUGACUUUACAUCUCGCAAUUCUGAAUUUAGAUCUUGCAAUCCUGACUUUACAUCACGCAAUUCUGACUUUACAUCUCACAAUUCUGACUUUACAUCACGCAAUUCUGAAUUUACAUCUCACAAUUCUGAAUUUACAUCACAAAAUUCUGAAUUUACAUCACAAAAUUCUGAAUUUACAUCACAAAAUUCUGAAUUUAGAUCUCGCAAUUCUGACUUUACAUCACGCAAUUCUGACUUUACAUCUCGCAAUUCUGAUUUUAGAUCUUGCAAUUCUGACUUUACAUCUCGCAAUUCUGAAUUUAGAUCUUGCAAUCCUGACUUUACAUCACGCAAUUCUGACUUUACAUCUCACAAUUCUGACUUUACAUCACGCAAUUCUGACUUGACAUCUCAUUUUUCUGAAUAUAGAUCUCACAAUUCUGACUUUACAUCACGCAAUUCUGACUUUACAGCACGCAAUUCUGACUUUACAUCUCGCAAUUCUGAGUUUACAUCUCGCAAUUCUGACUUUAGAUCUCGCAAUUCUGAAUUUACAUCUCACAAUUCUGACUUUACAUCACACAAUUCUGACUUUACAUCUCGCAAUUCUGAAUUUACAGCUCGCAAUUCUGACUUUACAUCCCGCAAUUCUGACUUUACAUCUCGCAAUUCUGAAUUUAGAUCUUGCAAUUCUGACUUUACAUCACGCAAUUCUGACUUUAGAUCUAACAAUUCUGACUUUACAUCAUGCAAUUCUGACUUUACAUCACGCUAUUCUGACUUUACAUCACGCUAUUCUGACUUUACAUCACACUAUUCUGACUUUACAUCUCGCAAUUCUGAAUUUAGAUCUUGCAAUCCUGACUUUACAUCACGCAAUUCUGACUUUACAUCAUGCACUUCUGACUUUACAUCACGCUAUUCUGACUUUACAUCACGCAAUUCUGACUUUAGAUCUCACAAUUCUGACUUUACAUCAUGCAAUUCUGACUUUACAUCACGCUAUUCUGACUUUACAUCACACAAUUCUGAAUUUACAUCACAAAAUUCUGACUUUACAUCUCGCAAUUCUGACUUUAGAUCUCGCAGUUCUGAUUUUAGUUCUCGCAGUUCUGACUUUACAUCACGCAAUUCUGACUUUACAUCACGCUAUUCUGACUUUACAUCACACAAUUCUGAAUAUAGAUCUCACAAUUCUGACUUUACAUCACAC
ensembl:lncRNA